rnacentral:lncRNA from 8 species
AUGUCUGAGGCGGAGGGCUGUGUGUCGGUGUGGGAGUGGCUGUGUGUGCUGCAUCUGGACCAGUAUUUCCCAGUGUUCCAAGACGCAGGGUUUGGAACGUUGUUGGAAUGCCAAGGGCUGACCCAGGAUCAGCUGGAGACGAUUGGAAUCACAUUGCCUGGACACCGCAAACGCAUCCUAGCCAGCCUGCAAAAAACACUCCACACAAACACUCACACACACCCAGAGAGAGAGCACGAUGCUCUACACACACACCUGGCUGCAGAGGGAGACCAGAGAGGGGAAGAGAGAGCAGUGUUCACAGACAGACCCAGCCCUGUGGGGAGUGAGAGACCAGUCCCUGCACAGAGACCAGUGUCCAGGGAAGGAGAGAGGGAUGGAGAGAGACCGAGACCAGUCCCUAAGGAGAGACCAGUGUCCAGAGGAGAGAGACCAGUCCCUAAGGAGAGACCAGUGUCCAGAGGAGAGAGACCAGUCCCUAAGGAGAGACCAGUGUCCAGAGGAGAGAGACCAGUCCCUAAGGAGAGACCAGUGUCCAGAGGAGAGAGACCAGUCCCUAAGGAGAGACCAGUGUCCAGAGGAGAGAGACCAGUCCCUAAGGAGAGACCAGUGUCCAGAGGAGAGAGACCAGUCCCUGCACAGAGACCAGUGUCCAGAGAAGGAGAGAGGGAUGGAGAGAGACCAGUCCCUGCACAGAGACCAGUUCCUAAGGAGAGGACAAAGUACCGCUCUGUCCCUGUAGAGACAUUGGACUGUGUCCAGACUUACCCUCGUCCCAACACUACCCCCUGUCCUACCACCCUCCAUUCUACUGCCCAGGACUCCCCUUUACCCCCCAUCCCACCUCGCAGCACCCCAAACUGCCCCCCACUACGCUUCAUCCCCACCUCCCCUAAACACUCCCCCACGGCACCCAAACCCAGAUCUGAACAUAUUAACUUAAACACCCCAACCACUGUACCUUCUGCUAGCCUCACCACCAAUCCCCUCACCUUACCCUCCCCCAGGCCCUGUCCUGCACCUCUGGCUAUCUACCCACCAGCCAGACACCCCCAGCAGGUGUGGGAGGGAGGAAGAAAGCCCUCCCCUGGUUCCCCCUCUUCCUCAUCCUCCUCUUCCUCCUCAUUUGAACGAUAUGACCAGUCAUCAUCUGAUCAAGGCGUGCCUCCCCUCCCCCCUAAAGUCUACGUGGUGGGGGCGGGCCCUAAAGAGCCUCACAGCCCUGCUCCAAUCCCACAUCGACCUCCUGUCUUGCCCUCCAGAACCACACCCACACAGAGGUAA